GAAACAUUGGACCAAACUGGCCAGUUGAAGCUGGUUCUGGGCUCGAACCAAACCUUGGGCAGGCUUAACUUGUCUGAACCUGCUGGAUGUAAACAAAUUUGCUGUUGUAGCUGUCCUGGUCCACGUUUCUACGUGGAUUUGCAAAAGGCUUAAAACAAAGCAGGAGAAGAAGCAUAUAUGGAGAUGCAAUCACAUAUCGUUCUCUCCAAUGAAUUCUCAAAUGGGUUUCAUGAAAUCAAGUUGAAUUAACCGAAUGGGCUUGACUGAGUAGUCUGAGUGGAUGUUGGGUUGGCUUAUCCUCACUCCUAUAUACAGAUGGAAUACGUUCAGGUUGGGAAUGGUAUUUAGGUAAAGCCUUUUCAACAAAGCUAACUCUAAAAUUCAAACUUUUAACCUUACAAGUAAAGUUCGCUUGGAGAUAUAGUUUUGUGUCACUGAUUCAACUAUUUAUUGGUUAAGUUUUAAUAAAUUUAUAAUUUAAUUUAUAAAUUUUGUCUUCUAUUAUACUUUAGUCCUUAAAUUCUAAAAAAUUAAUAAUUUAAUCUUUUA
rnacentral:misc_RNA from 1 species